rnacentral:lncRNA from 13 species
UUGACCCCAAUAUCACCCAGUUUCAACACAGUGGGGGUGGGGUCUAUGCUCUCUGCCAUCUGUCACAUCAUCAUGACACGAACAUCAUGACAUGAUCGUGGCGAGCGUCAGUGCAGUCAAUCAGGGCACGUCCUGGCACAAUUGAGGUAGAGAAACGGUGAUUGCAAAUCUUUUUUUCGAGGAUAUUAUUUGGUUUUCACAUAUACGGCUAUGGUAUGUGAUUGACGAAAUGACAUCUGGAUUUAUGAUGCUGAUUCAUUUAGUUCAUCACUGCGCAAUAAAUGCGCAAAUCUAAUAUUCUUGAAAAUACAAACCCACUGAACCCGCUUACGACCAAUGAACAAAGCGAAGGGCGUGACCAGGGUAAAUUUCGAGGAGAUACGUCACUCAAACUACGAACCAGGGGUAAACAGGAAAUGCAAAUAAUAUUUGUAGCUAGAAUUCACUCGUUAGCUAAAGUCAAAGGUCAAAAAAGAGAAGGGAAUGAGAUAAUAGAAUUUAGGGUAUGGAAUGACCAUAAGGGGAGCACGACCCACGAACCCCCACCACACAGCCGAGAGCUUGGGUGGCACCAAGCCCAGUUCAGCCCCCCAAAUCACAACCAGCACCAGGACAUCAAACAGGGUGAGCCCUUCAGUCCAUACAGACAGUUCAUGAAAAAACACAAGGUCUACACAUGA